rnacentral:rRNA from 1 species
UACGUAGGGCGCAAGCGUUGUCCGGAAUUAUUGGGCGUAAAGAGCUCGUAGGUGGCGUGUCGCGUCUGCCGUGAAAGCCCAUGGCUUAACUGUGGGUCUGCGGUGGAUACGGGCAGGCUAGAGGCUGGUAGGGGCAAGCGUAAUUCCUGGUGUAGCGGUGAAAUGCGCAGAUAUCAGGAGGAACACCGGUGGCGAAGGCGGCUUGCUGGGCCAGUUCUGACGCUGAGGAGCGAAAGCGUGGGGAGCGAACAGG